rnacentral:rRNA from 1 species
AUUAGCUAGUUGGUGGGGUAAAGGCUCACCAAGGCGACGAUCUGUAGCUGGUCUGAGAGGACGACCAGCCACACUGGAACUGAGACACGGUCCAGACUCCUACGGGAGGCAGCAGUGGGGAAUUUUGGACAAUGGGCGCAAGCCUGAUCCAGCAAUGCCGCGUGCAGGAUGAAGGCCUUCGGGUUGUAAACUGCUUUUGUACGGAACGAAAAGACUCCUUCUAAUAAAGGGGGUUCAUGACGGUACCGUAAGAAUAAGCACCGGCUAACUACGUGCCAGCAGCCGCGGUAAUACGUAGGGUGCGAGCGUUAAUCGGAAUUACUGGGCGUAAAGCGUGCGCAGGCGGUGAUGUAAGACAGAUGUGAAAUCCCCGGGCUCAACCUGGGACCUGCAUUUGUGACUGCAUCGCUAGAGUACGGUAGAGGGGGAUGGAAUUCCGC